rnacentral:rRNA from 1 species
GUCAACGCCCUAAACGAUGGACACUAAGUGUCGGCAGGUUACUGCCGGUGCCGCAGCUAACGCAUUAAGUGUCCCGCCUGGGGAGUACGGCCGCAAGGUUGAAACUCAAAGGAAUUGACGGGGGCCCGCACAAGCGGUGGAGCAUGUGGUUUAAUUCGACGCAACGCGAAGAACCUUACCCAGGCUGGACAAGCAGGUAGUAAGAACCUGAAAGGGGAUGAGCCCGCAAGGGCAUUCUGCUCAGGUGCUGCAUGGCUGUCGU